AAACCAGCACCUCAAGUGGUCAGGAGGAUUAUUGGGCCUAAAGCAUCCGUAGCCUGUUCUGUAAGUUUUCGGUUAAAUCCAUUAGCUCAACUAAUGGGCCGCCGAAAAUACUGUAGAACUAGGGAGUGGGAGAGGUAGACGGUAUUCGGUAGGAAGGGGUAAAAUCCUUUGAUCUAUUGAGGACCACCUGUGGCGAAGGCGGUCUACCAGAACACGUUCGACGGUGAGGGAUGAAAGCUGGGGGAGCAAACCGGAUUAGAAACCCCUGUAGUCC
rnacentral:rRNA from 1 species